UCAUUUGCCUUAUAAUUGAAGGCUAGUAUGAAUGGUUUGACAAGAAUAUUACUGUCUCUUUAUAAUUGAUUAGAAUUUUAUUUUAGGGUGAAGAAGCCUUAAUAAAAUUAAUAGACAAGAAGACCCUAUCGAGCUUUAAAAAAUUUAAUAGGUUUUAUUAAAUAUUAAAUAAAAAAUUAACUGUUAAAAAUUUUGGUUGGGGCGACUGAGGAACAAAAAAAGCUUCCUUUAAACUAAAUUGUUACAUACAAGUAUUAUGAUCCAAAAUUUUUGAUUAAAGGAAUUAGUUACCGUAGGGAUAACAGCAUUAUCUUUUUUGAGAGCUCUUAUCGAAAAAAAGGUUUGUGACCUCGAUGUUGGACCAGAAUAUCCUAAAGAUGCAGAAGUCUUUAAGGGUUGGUCUGUUCGACCAU
rnacentral:rRNA from 1 species